rnacentral:lncRNA from 1 species
UGCAGAAUUUUCGUCCUGAUCUUUGAUAAAUUGUCACCCAGGUAGGAGUGAGCAAAAAUCGAACCUGAACCAAUCAAAUCGGUGAAACCGAACCAAACCGCAGAUUUGGUUAGGUUUGAAAUUUUAUUCGGUUUGGUUUGGUUAGUUUUUGACAUAUAAAGGAUAGGUUUGGAUUGGUUCAUAUUUGUUAGUAAAUAAAAUCAUUCUCAAACCAAACC